CGCCGACGACCGGCGCACGGGUGCGCAACGCGUAUACAAUCUGCCUUAUGCUGAGGGAUAGCCCAGAGAAAUUUGGAUUAAGACCUCAUGGUAUCGGAAGACGGCAUCGUUUUCUGAUUAAAGGUUACGGCAUAAGAUGAGUAUGCGUCCCAUUAGCUAGUUGGUGUGGUAACGGCACACCAAGGCAACGAUGGGUAGGGGUCCUGAGAGGGAGAUCCCCCACACUGGUACUGAGACACGGACCAGACUCCUACGGGAGGCAGCAGUGAGGAAUAUUGGACAAUGGACGAAAGUCUGAUCCAGCCAUGCCGCGUGCAGGAAGACGGUCCUAUGGAUUGUAAACUGCUUUUAUACGGGAAGAAUAAGGGCUACGUGUAGCCCGGUGACGGUACCGUAAGAAUAAGGAUCGGCUAACUCCGUGCCAGCAGCCGCGGUAAUACGGAGGAUCCAAGCGUUAUCCGGAAUCAUUGGGUUUAAAGGGUCCGUAGGCGGACUAUUAAGUCAGGGGUGAAAGUCUGCAGCUCAACUGUAGAAUUGCCUUUGAUACUGGUAGUCUUGAGUUAUGGUGAAGUGGCUAGAAUAUGUAGUGUAGCGGUGAAAUGCAUAGAUAUUACAUAGAAUACCGAUUGCGAAGGCAGGUCACUAACCAUACACUGACGCUGAUGGACGAAAGCGUGGGGAGCGAACAGGAUUAGAUACCCUGGUAGUCCACGCCGUAAACGAUGGAUACUAGCUGUUCGGACUUCGGUCU
rnacentral:rRNA from 1 species